CCGUGAGAGCGUGAAGCCCAAUCCUGUCACGGCGAUUACGGACUUCCUGUUCCCUCCGCCCUAAAACCCUGCCCUAGUUCCGCCUCCUCGUGAAAAAGGACUCCGUUGCCAAGGAACUAUUUUUCUCCAUCGUCGUUUCAGAGCUGCUUUUGGAAGCGGAAGGAGAUAGAGGAUUUGGAAUGUGUUGUACACACCUGCGUAUUGUCAGCGCCUGCGUGUUGUCAUGGGAACCUGGCGGGGGCGGAGGUCUGGGGGCCUGAGGACCAGGCCACGCCCCCUGAGGGAAGAGGAGGAGUUACAAGCCCCAAGAGUGGAGGUAGGUUGCUAAGCAAGUGCCUACCUGGAAUCCUGCGGAUGCCAAAAGUGCUUGCUCGUUGGCUGAGUUCAAGACUUGAUUUUGGCAUGCUUCUCCCAGGUGCCGUGUCUCCUGUGCAUGUACAGCACCCAGCACAGUACCAGCUUCAUAACAGGCACUGAAUGAAUGAAUGAAUGAAUGGACUAGAGCCAAAUGGUCCCCUCUGACAUUGACCUUCAUUUCAAAGCAAUACUGGUGACGGGACUGAUGGGAGCCUGCCAACAAGGGACCGCUCCCCCCGUGGGCCGUCACACCGUGGAACACUGCGCAGGCGUGAAAACGAGUGAGGUAGAGCCGUCCGUGCUAACACAGUAAGAUUUCCACCACUGAGUGAAAACGUAAGUUGCAGAAAGAGAAUGUAGAGUCUGAUUACAUUUCUGCAAAAAGAGAAGUCAUUGCAGUUUAGAAAUGCCAGUAAAUGUGCAGGAAACAAAUCAGAAAGUAUAUACCAAACUUAACCGUGGUUACUUCCACAGGAGGAAAGAGUUUCUGUAUGUGUGGGUACGUAGUUGGGGGGAGGCUCUCAUUAGUUACUUUGGUAUAAUGUGACAUUUUACCAUGACCAUAAUUCCUUUGGUAAUCAAGAAAACUCAGUAUCACUUUAAACAACCCAAACACAAGCAGGAUUACUAGAAGAUGUGACCUGAUGUUCUGAAUUUCCAAGCACGUUGUGGAUAAGCAUUAGACUAGUCUUGGGUUCAAAGGUUUCUUGUCCCUUUCUCUCAAGGCGAAAGCCACAUUAAAAAACAAAA